rnacentral:rRNA from 1 species
AGUGAACGCUGGCUGCGUGCCUCAUACCUGACAGUAGCACGAAGUGGCGCACGGGUGAGUAAUAUAUAGUUCAUCUGCCCUACACAGAGGAACAACAAUUGGAAACGACUGCUACUACACCAUAGUGUAGGAUGAGACUAUAUAGUAUCAGCUAGUUGGUAAGGUAAUGGCUUACCAAGGCUAUGACCCGUAACUGGUCUGAGAGGAUGAUCAGUAACAUGGGAACUGAAACACGGUCCAAACUCCGACGGGAGGCAUCAGUAAGGAAUAUUGCGCAAUGGGGGAAACCCUGACGCAGCAACGCCGCGUGGAGGAUGACACUUUUCGGAGCGUAAACGCCUUUUAUCAGGAAAGCGGGACCUGAUGAAUAAGCACCUGCUAACUCCGUGCCAGCAGCCGCGGUAAUAC